rnacentral:sRNA from 1 species
CGGAGUUUCCUAAGUGAGGCUAAGAAGAUGAAGGCAACAGGUCCAAACAUGAAGACAAAGAAAAUUGUGAAGCUCACGUGCGUGUGUCUCUGACCUUGUAUUCUGUCUUUCGAUUGGGUGAGGAUUGGGCUGGAGCCCAUCACUCACUUGGUUUCUCUUCGUUUGCAUUUCAACACAACGAUUUAGAUAAUCGGUUCAGUUUCGCAGUUUCAUUGUCGCAGAACUAACUAACUAACUUUUGUUGUUUAGGAAAAAUGAAGUUUUCUGUGUGCUUACUUUAUCAUUGGAAUCUAUGAAUAUGUGAUCAAGGUUUUAUUGAUUCUGUUUCUGCUGGAA